rnacentral:misc_RNA from 1 species
AUGCUCAAAAAUAGCCGACUCCUGGAAGAAAUGCUAACUGGGUAUUAAAGGACAUAAUGGAGUAUGCAUCCAAAACUAACUUUUGUAAACAAAACUGUGCAUUGAAUUCAAGGACAGGCAUCAACUAAAAUUAUGAUUUUAUCCUCGUAGAAAUUCGUACAAUGUAAGAAUAUAUUAACUUCUUACAAGGGAUUAAUAAUAUAACUCCAAAAUCAUUGUCCAACCACAAACUAGCACAAGCAUACUUUGAUCAUUAUAUUGGGUUACACUAAAUUUUCAAAGAUACAAUAAUGCCCGGGAUUGUUUUGAUGUCAUAAUAAAU